rnacentral:rRNA from 1 species
UAGUUCAUAUGCUUGUCUCAAAGAUUAAGCCAUGCAUGCCUAAGUAUGUGCUCUCGAACAGUGAAACCACGAAUGGCUCAUUAAAUCAGCUACUAUUUAUUGGAAGGAUAUACAGUUACAUGGAUAACUGUAGUAAUUCUAGAGCUAAUACAUGCCUCGAAUCCGUGACCCGCAAGGGUAUCGGUGCACUUAUUAGAACAAGACCAGCCGGGUGUGUCCUUGUGGCGCUGCCUGACCUGAUCGUGUUGACUCUGGAUAAUUUACUAUAGUCAGAUCGCAGACGACCUUGUGUCGGCGACGCUUCCUUCAAAUGUCUGCCCUAUCAACUUUCGAUGGUAGCCAACCUGCCUACCAUGGUUACAACGGGUAACGGGGAAUCAGGGUUCGAUUCCGGAGAGGGAGCCUGAGAAACAGCUACCACAUCCAAGGAAGGCAGCAGGCGCGCAAAUUACCCACUCCCGGCACGGGGAGGUAGUGACGAAAAAUAACGAUGCGGAACUCUAUGAGGAUCCGUAAUCGGAAUGAGUACAGUCUAAAGCCUUUAACGAGGACCAAUUGGAGGGCAAGUCUGGUGCCAGCAGCCGCGGUAACUCCAGCUCCAAUAGCGUAUAUUAAAGUUGCUGCAGUUAAAAAGCUCGUAGUUGGAUCUUGACGGUGCUGCUGCGGGUCGAGUUGUGGUUGGUAGGGUGUAUCCAUGGCCACGAGUCGUGGUAUGCUCUGCUAGCUACGCUUGGUUCGUGUGCGGUGCAGUCUUUCAGUCGUGUCUGGCUCCCUUACGGGGGCUAGGUGCCGUUGGUCGGUUGGGCUUUGUCUCGACUGGCAGGCGGUACGCGCUGCGAUGCUCUUAAUUGCGUGUCGUGGUGCGGGCGGCAUGUUUACUUUGAACAAAUUUGAGUGCUCAAAGCAGGCCAUAGUGUCUGAAAAGUCUUGCAUGGAAUAAUAGAAUAGGACUUCAGUUCUAUUUUGUUGGUUUUCGGAUCUGAAGUAAUGGUUAAGAGAGACAGACGGGGGCAUUUGUAUGGCGGUGUUAGAGGUGAAAUUCUUGGAUCGCCGCCAGACAACCUGAAGCGAAAGCAUUUGCCAGGAAUGUUUUCAUUGACAAAGAGCGAAAGUCAGAGGUUCGAAGACGAUCAGAUACCGUCCUAGUUCUGACCAUAAACGAUGCCAACUGACGAUCCGUGGGGUAAAAUUUUCUUGUCCCCACGGGCAGUCCCCGGGAAACCUUUAAGUCUUUGGGUUCCGGGGGAAGUAUGGUUGCAAAGCUGAAACUUAAAGGAAUUGACGGAAGGGCACCACCAGGAGUGGAGCCUGCGGCUUAAUUUGACUCAACACGGGAAAACUCACCCGGCCCGGACACUGUGAGGAUUGACAGAUUGAGAGCUCUUUCAUGAUUCAGUGGUUGGUGGUGCAUGGCCGUUCUUAGUUGGUGGAGCGAUUUGUCUGGUUAAUUCCGAUAACGAACGAGACUCUAUUCUGCUAACUAGUACUUCCGUAACCGGUGGGCGUGUCCAGUUUGCGGGUCCGAAUUGCUCUCGUAGCGGUUCGGCUUGUAACUGACUGUUCACUUCGCGGUUGAAACUUCUUAGAGAGACAGAUUGUGAUAGCGAUACGAAAUUGAGCAAUAACAGGUCUGUGAUGCCCUUAGAUGUCCGGGGCCGCACGCGCGCUACAAUGACGGUUCCAGCGAGUAUGACCUCCUGGCCCGAGAGGGUUAGGCAAACUGGUCCAUGACCGUCGUGACAGGGAUCGGGGUUUGUAAUUAUCCCCCGUGAACGAGGAAUUCCCAGUAAGUGCAAGUCAUAAGCUUGUGCUGAUUACGUCCCUGCCCUUUGUACACACCGCCCGUCGCUACUACCGAUUGAAUGGUUUGGCAAGGCCUUCGGAUCGGUGCCAUUGUAAUACUCAAUUGUAUUCGACAGGUGCUGAGAAGAGGACCAAACUUGAUCAUUUAGAGGAAGUAAAAGUCGUAACAAGGUUUCCGU